GAUGAACGCUGGCGGCGUGCCUAAUACAUGCAAGUCGAGCGAACAGAUGAGAAGCUUGCUUCUCUGAUGUUAGCGGCGGACGGGUGAGUAACACGUGGGUAACCUACCUAUAAGACUGGGAUAACUCCGGGAAACCGGGGCUAAUACCGGAUAAUAUUUUGAACCGCAUGGUUCAAUAGUGAAAGACGGUUUCGGCUGUCACUUAUAGAUGGACCCGCGCCGUAUUAGCUAGUUGGUAAGGUAACGGCUUACCAAGGCGACGAUACGUAGCCGACCUGAGAGGGUGAUCGGCCACACUGGAACUGAGACACGGUCCAGACUCCUACGGGAGGCAGCAGUAGGGAAUCUUCCGCAAUGGGCGAAAGCCUGACGGAGCAACGCCGCGUGAGUGAUGAAGGUCUUCGGAUCGUAAAACUCUGUUGUUAGGGAAGAACAAAUUUGUUAGUAACUGAACAAGUCUUGACGGUACCUAACCAGAAAGCCACGGCUAACUACGUGCCAGCAGCCGCGGUAAUACGUAGGUGGCAAGCGUUAUCCGGAAUUAUUGGGCGUAAAGCGCGCGUAGGCGGUUUCUUAAGUCUGAUGUGAAAGCCCACGGCUCAACCGUGGAGGGUCAUUGGAAACUGGGAAACUUGAGUGCAGAAGAGGAGAGUGGAAUUCCAUGUGUAGCGGUGAAAUGCGCAGAGAUAUGGAGGAACACCAGUGGCGAAGGCGGCUCUCUGGUCUGUAACUGACGCUGAUGUGCGAAAGCGUGGGGAUCAAACAGGAUUAGAUACCCUGGUAGUCCACGCCGUAAACGAUGAGUGCUAAGUGUUAGGGGGUUUCCGCCCCUUAGUGCUGCAGCUAACGCAUUAAGCACUCCGCCUGGGGAGUACGACCGCAAGGUUGAAACUCAAAGGAAUUGACGGGGACCCGCACAAGCGGUAGAGCAUGUGGUUUAAUUCGAAGCAACGCGAAGAACCUUACCAAAUCUUGACAUCCUUUGACCGCUCUAGAGAUAGAGUCUUCCCCUUCGGGGGACAAAGUGACAGGUGGUGCAUGGUUGUCGUCAGCUCGUGUCGUGAGAUGUUGGGUUAAGUCCCGCAACGAGCGCAACCCUUAAGCUUAGUUGCCAUCAUCAAGUUGGGCACUCUAGGUUGACUGCCGGUGACAAACCGGAGGAAGGUGGGGAUGACGUCAAAUCAUCAUGCCCCUUAUGAUUUGGGCUACACACGUGCUACAAUGGAUAAUACAAAGGGCAGCGAAUCCGCGAGGCCAAGCAAAUCCCAUAAAAUUAUUCUCAGUUCGGAUUGUAGUCUGCAACUCGACUACAUGAAGCUGGAAUCGCUAGUAAUCGUAGAUCAGCAUGCUACGGUGAAUACGUUCCCGGGUCU
rnacentral:rRNA from 1 species